rnacentral:lncRNA from 1 species
UCACAUCUUUAUAUAUAACAGGAGUUCUAUACAAAAUAAAUAAUUACAUUAUAAGGAGACAACGGUCCAGCAACCCAAAGUUGACUGGGAGACGACGGCCUAGACCUCUCACGAACACAUCGCAGCAUUCCCAAGCGCCUCAUCCUGCGGUACCUGUUCUUGACCUGUGGGGGUGUGAGACAGCAAGAGUGAGCUCACAUACGUUCAUCGCUCAACAAGUUGUGGGGAAUAAUGUGUAUGAACUCGCCAAAGGUGGGAGCUCAUGUGAAGUGUAAGGCUUACCAAAGAGGAUGGCUGAAGCUGAGCAUUGCUUUUAAAGUUGGUCAAAAUUUUAUUAGCCAUUACUAAGUAUAAGUAAAUACCAACCCAAUUAAAUAGUAGAACAGAAGUAACAACAUCACCUGCGAUGCAAUGCAUAUGACAAAUUGAAUUUAAGUUCCAUAGAUUAAUCAUGUGAGUGUCCGAGCUGCUCAUGACCGUGAGCACGGCUAGUAUACCAGUUUUACACUCUGCAGAGGUUGCGCAUCUUUACCCACAAGUCAUGUUACCCAUCUGCCAAGGAAUCCCUUGCAGGACCGCCAUCGCAGCAAAAUCCUCCCGAGGGCCUCCCUACACUGACCACUCCCCUACUGCCCUUGCCCCUUUCGGGUAAGGUAGUCUUCCACUAGCUUUCCUAAUUAAUCGGCCAAGGGCGUCCCAUUAAACCCUUGUGGUAGCACUGUUUUCCCGGGUGGUUCUCCAUGUUCCAAUUAACAUAAUGAUCUUAUCAUGAAUAGUAAAUAGCAACUGAUAACAAAAGUAUGAAUAAUAUGUAUCUCAAUGCCCAAAUCCACAUAUAGCACUAGCAAGUACUACCCAGAAAGUUUAGUGGUAAACAAGGCAUAAAGAUAGACAAACUAGGGUAACCUAUUAGGUCCCAUCAAAUUAUCCUAUGCAGAUCAUUAUGAUUAAUUAGAACAUGAGUGGGUAAAAGAAGUGAUCAAGGGCACAACUUGCCUGGGACUUGAGAUUCCAGGUACCAACUUGCUCAUCAGGUGACACGUGUCCUCACGCUAGUCGAAGCAAUACAAACAAAUAUGGUAUAUGCAAAAUUAACAUCACACCAAACAUAAGAACAAACUGCAUAAUGAUAAUUUACUCGUCGUAACGAUACCGUGGGUUCGAGAACCACUAAAUUCGGAGCUACGGUUAUUAAGUUAUGAAUUUCCGAAGUUAUUAAGUACUUGGCACAGGAUAAAUUAAGUAACCAAUUUUAAAUCUAUGUUUCCUGUCUAAACAGAGUUACUAGGUGAUAAAGAAUAUUAAAACAAAAUUAAUGUAACUGGAAUGGAUUUAAAAGGAGCUAAAAUGAAUUUUCUAUACAUUAAAUGAGUUUCAAGAUUUAUUUUUAUACUAACAAUCAAUUUAUAAUAUUAAUUAUCUAGUUUUCUCUGUUAUCUGGACUGUGCGUCAUUUACUAAGAAGCUUGAGGUUUAAUUCGCAAAAGCUACCAGACUCAGACUACUCCCGCGGGGACGGCGGGUUGAUUUGUGAAAAAUGCAGGGUCUCUUUAGCAAAUCGUCCAAGACGAAGGGGUACGGGUAGAAUUCAACCGUUGGAUCGGCAUUUGAGGGCUCGGAUCAUCCCAACCGAAGGGGUAUCUCGGUGUUUUAAUCACAGCCGCCCAGGCCAGAUCAACGGUCGUCGUUCGUCUCCCACGCCCGCGCUCGCCAGAACGCUACGACACCAUCGCAGAGCGGCGGCAGGUUCGCCGGAGACAAACCCAUCGACGACCAGACGCGCGAUUUCCUAAGUAGCCUAAUCCUAUACAAGAAUGGAGAUCAACCAACGGCCUUAGGAGUAACUUACCAAAAUUUAAGGCAGUAAUGAAAUCCGUCCGUGUGAGUGGCGGCACGGUGGUGGAAUUAGACCUCCGUUGAGAAAUUCCGGCGAGGAGUCCGUCACGUUCUACGUGGUACUGCGCCUUGAUGUCGUCUCCGACAUCCACCGGCCCACCCCAGUGAACCACGACACCGCCCAUCGGGUCCCGACGAACGGCGGAAGCACGGGCCGGCCAUGGCGGGUGUUUGGCCAGUCCCUCUGCACGAGUCGGUGCCCACUUUCUGCAGGGCGACGGUGGUGAUUUUACUUGUGAUGGAUUCGGCUCAGGGCGCUAUAAAUAGGGGCAGAGGGUACCUAGAUCGGUGUGCCCACCCCCACAAAUUUCGCCAGCUUCAACAGAUUUCUGUUGGAGACCGUAGGUAGAGGAUGAGUCUGACAUGGUGGCCCCACGAGUCAGACAGUGUACGGACGCCCACCUACCAGCCGUUGCACUAGAACGCGUGCGGGGCUGAUUGUGUGGCGCAGAAAUAGGCUUCAGUUGCGCGGAUGGCGGCAUGCUUCUUUUCGGUUUCAUGGAGGAAGAAACGCUGGCAGGCUAACCGGCCAAAUCGUGCGUGCGUGAGAAAUGAAUAGAUUGCUGGCCGCAUGGGUCCCAUGCGUAAGUGUCACAAGGGACCAUGCAUGUGUGAAGUAAUGGUGAUGUCAUCUGCGGCUAUAUGAAUAAUUAAAUCGAAGGAAAGAGGGUGGGUUACGUCCACAUUUUGGCGUUACUGGGCAAGCAGCCAUGGAAUCACGUAGAUGUGAGGCUUCAUUUAUUUUUUUGUUUUCUUUCUUGUUUUUCUUAUUUCUGUUUUAAAUCCUUACUUCAGUUCCAAAGCUGGAUUAUUGAAAGGGAAAUGUGCCUUUGGGCCAUUUCUAAGUAUUCUGGUGAUUAAGUGCCAACACAAGUGCUUAAAUGGGAAUCUAUGCCCAUGGAUGAACAAAGUGCAAAUCACAAGUAAAGGUAUGUUUCUAAGCCUUAGUACAUUGGUUUUGUGUACUAAUAUAUUUGUCUAAGUGUUAGAAACAGAGAGAAGAAGAAAAGGAGAAUGUUGGCUGUGUACAGCCAACAGGCUGUUUCGUCUGGGGCACCGGACUGUCCGGUGGGGCACCGGACAGUGUCCGUUGCGCCAGGCUGCCUCGACCUGAAGACGCCGCUCUCGGGUAUUCACCAACGGCGAACGGCUAAAAUUCACCGGACUGUCCGGUGAGCCAACGGUCGGCCGAGCCAACGGUCGGCCGCGGAAUCUGCGCGCGACACGUAGCCCGGCCAACGGUCGGGAGAGGGCACCGGACUGUCCGGUGUGCACCGGACAUGUCCGGUGCGCCAGAUCUGCAACGGUCGGCAACGGUCGACUGGGCUGUUUAAGGAAAGAAAUCGGGCACCGGACAGUGUCCGGUGUGCACCGGACUGUCCGGUGCGCCCGACGACAGAAGGUAAGGAUGGCCUUCCAGAUUUGUUCUCAACGGCUCCUAGCUGCCUUGGGGCUAUAAAAGGGACCCCUAGGCGCAUGGAGGAAAACACGAAGUAACCUUAGAGCAAUCUUGAUCAUCCACACUCAGUCUUUGCGCACUCGUUUGUCAUUCUAAGUGAUUCGAGCUUCGUUCUAGUGAGAACUUUGAGAUAGUCUUUUGAGCUCGAUUCUUGGCCGUGUGUGUGCGCAUUUUGCUGUGGAUUUGUGUGUGUUGCUUCCCUCCCUUACUCCGUGCUUCUUUGUGAAACUCAAUUGUAAGGGCGAGAGACUCCAAGUUGUGGAGAUUCCUCGCAAACGGGAAAAGAGCAAAGAAAAGAAGAACACCGUGGUAUUCAAGUUGAUCAUUGGAUCACUUGAGAGGAGUUGAAUGCAACUCUCGUCCGUUGGGACGCCACAACGUGGAGUAGGCAAGUUUUGUACUUGGCCGAACCACGGGAUAACCACCGUGUCAUCUCUGUGAUUGCUUUCUUGUGGUUAUUGUGUUUUGGCUCCUCUCUAGCCACUUGGCAAUAACUGUGCUAACACUUAACAAGUUUUUGUGGCUAUAAGUUUAAGUUUUACAGGAUCACCUAUUCACCCCCCCCCCUCUAGGUGCUCUCAAUUAUAUGAAUGCAACGAUACAAAAAAAACCUUGCAUGAUGCAAAGUAUAUUUUAUUUUGCUUCUAUUAUUAUUCUAUUCUUCAAAAAUGAGCAUUAUAUAUAAAAAAAACUACAUAAAAUAGAAUUAUUAACUCUCCCAAUUCAAAUAGAAUUUGGGUAUUACAAAUCCUACCCCCUUAAAAGGAAUCUCGUCCUCGAGAUUUGUAAGAAAAGGGAUACAGAAGGAUUGGUAAUUUUAGCUCUUAGUCUAUAAUUGAUUCAAAAAUCGAGAGUCUCAUUUUUUGUAGUCAUUAGUGGGUGAUUAGGAGACCAUAGGUAUCCACAACUACUUAUUAUGUAGGAUAUAAGCUGGACAGGAGGAGGUAAGAAAGAUUAUGGCAAGGAAAAGACUUUAUCCAAUAUGUUUAAGUCUUAGUUCAUCUCGAGAUUCGCUUUGACUGUUAUAUCCUUCCUUGUUAAUGUUGAUCUUUCCUUCUCCGGUCUUGGUCUCAUUGAGUCAAGGUCAGUGUACAUCAUCGAAGUUGGGAAAAUAUGGUUAAGAUAGAUAUAGGUGAGAUAGACUACAUGAUGUUGGUCAAAAACUUGUUUGGUGUUGGGUGGGGUUAGAUAGAUUAUGCAGUCUAUCAUGACUCUAUUGGUUGGGUUAGUUCUUCUACUCAUGGUUGAGGUGGUCUGUCGUUCUUAAUUUAGUGCGGACUGAACUAAGAUAAAACAUGUUCUAUAAGAGUAGAGUCUCAUUUAUUUUACCACAAUUAACUGGUUAAGUGGCUAUCCCUAGGUUAAUUCAACUUAAGGUUAGACUUUGUUAGGUUAGGUUAACCUAUUAGAUUGGAUCAGAUCUAGAAUAAAUUGAUAUAACUAUUCUAGACUAGAUAGGAUCUAAAUAAAUUUUAGAUUAGCUCAUGGUUGUUAUUCUAGAGUGGGAUAAAUAUGCUAAUUAGGGCAAGAUGACUCCAUAAGGAUAAGGUAGAAUCUUUCGAGGUCAGUUAGAUCUAUAUGGGUGACAUAAGAUCUUUUCAGGAUAAGAUGAGUAUUUUUUUAAGAUAAGAUGGAUCUAUGAGUGUAGGAUAAAAUCUUUCAAGAUGAGAUGGAUAUUGUUUGGCUAGAUACUUUAAUGAGGGAUAAUCUAGUUUAUCUAGUUAUUUUUAUAAGCAUUUUUUUCUAUAUGUAUAUGUAGAUGUAAUUGUGGACAUUACUCCACAACCCAUCACACUCAAUCAAAGAUCCAAAUCAGACAAGUAUCACAAGAACAAACAUUCAGACAUAUAGAUAAAAAAAUAGAUUUGUUUUUGUUCCUAAGAAUAGGUCUCCUAGUCCUAAGAGUCACUUUAGGUACGGAAUUUCAAAGUGUGAAAUCCACAUUUGUCUUUUAGAAAUAAAAGGUAAGAAUAAUCAGAGUGAAGCGGAAAUAGAUGAGAAAAGAUUAAGAAAAGUUUAGAAAAGAAUCAGAGUAGCAAGGGUAAGUAAGUAUUGGUUGUCCAGUUCUAUCUAGGUUACGUCCUACAGUCAACAUUCCUCUGAUACCACUUCUGUCACACCCGGGUUUUAGGGGCACCAAGACCCGGGCGCGAACAUAAACACCAGAUAUACUGGGACCAAGUCUCACACAUAUGAUGUAUAGUGGCACAGGAUCGAAUGUCACAUCUUUAUAUAUAACAGGAGUUCUAUACAAAAUAAAUAAUUACAUUAUAAGGAGACAACGGUCCAGCAACCCAAAGUUGACUGGGAGACGACGGCCUAGACCUCUCACGAACACAUCGCAGCAUCCCCAAGCGCCUCAUCCUGCGGUACCUGUUCUUGACCUGUGGGGGUGUGAGACAGCAAGAGUGAGCUCACAUACGUUCAUCGCUCAACAAGUUGUGGGGAAUAAUGUGUAUGAACUCGCCAAAGGUGGGAGCUCAUGUGAAGUGUAAGGCUUACCAAAGAGGAUGGCUGAAGCUGAGCAUUGCUUUUAAAGUUGGUCAAAAUUUUAUUAGCCAUUACUAAGUAUAAGUAAAUACCAACCCAAUUAAAUAGUAGAACAGAAGUAACAACAUCACCUGCGAUGCAAUGCAUAUGACAAAUUGAAUUUAAGUUCCAUAGAUUAAUCAUGUGAGUGUCCGAGCUGCUCAUGACCGUGAGCACGGCUAGUAUACCAGUUUUACACUCUGCACAGGUUGCGCAUCUUUACCCACAAGUCAUGUUACCCAUCUGCCAAGGGAUCGCGACUUCCCAUACACCUCUACCGAGGAGGCGAGGCAGGGUAACACUACGAGGCCUUUACAAAGUUCCACUAGCUUCAGAAAACCCGCUACAGUUUAUAGGAAGCUCCAAUGCAGGAAUCCCUUGCAGGACCGCCAUCGCAGCAAAAUCCUCCCGAGGGCCUCCCUACACUGACCACUCCCCUACUGCCCUUGCCCCUUUCGGGUAAGGUAGUCUUCCACUAACUUUCCUAAUUAAUCGGCCAAGGGCGUCCCAUUAAACCCUUGUGGUAGCACUGUUUUCCCGGGUGGUUCUCCAUGUUCCAAUUAACACAAUGAUCUUAUCAUGAACAGUAAAUAGCAACUGAUAACAAAAGUAUGAAUAAUAUGUAUCUCAAUGCCCAAAUCCACAUAUAGCACUAGCAAGUACUACCCAGAAAGUUUAGUGGUAAACAAGGCAUAAAGAUAGACAAACUAGGGUAACCUAUUAGGUCCCAUCAAAUUAUCCUAUGCAGAUCAUUAUGAUUAAUUAGAACAUGAGUGGGUAAAAGAAGUGAUCAAGGGCACAACUUGCCUGGGACUUGAGAUUCCAGGUACCAACUUGCUCAUCAGGUGACACGUGUCCUCACGCUAGUCGAAGCAAUACAAACAAAUAUGGUAUAUGCAAAAUUAACAUCACACCAAACAUAAGAACAAACUGCAUAAUGAUAAUUUACUCGUCGUAACGAUACCAUGGGUUCGAGAACCACUAAAUUCGGAGCUACGGUUAUUAAGUUAUGAAUUUCCGAAGUUAUUAAGUACUUGGCACAGGAUAAAUUAAGUAACCAAUUUUAAAUCUAUGUUUCCUGUCUAAACAGAGUUACUAGGUGAUAAAGAAUAUUAAAACAAAAUUAAUGUAACUGGAAUGGAUUUAAAAGGAGCUAAAAUGAAUUUUCUAUACAUUAAAUGAGUUUCAAGAUUUAUUUUUAUACUAACAAUCAAUUUAUAAUAUUAAUUAUCUAGUUUUCUCUGUUAUCUGGACUGUGCGUCAUUUACUAAGAAGCUUGAGGUUUAAUUCGCAAAAGCUACCAGACUCAGACUACUCCCGCGGGGACGGCGGGUUGAUUUGUGAAAAAUGCAGGGUCUCUUUAGCAAAUCGUCCAAGACGAAGGGGUACGGGUAGAAUUCAACCGUUGGAUCGGCAUUUGAGGGCUCGGAUCAUCCCAACCGAAGGGGUAUCUCGGUGUUUUAAUCACAGCCGCCCAGGCCAGAUCAACGAUCGUCGUUCGUCUCCCACGCCCGCGCUCGCCAGAACGCUACGGCACCAUCACAGAGCGGCGGCAGGUUCGCCGGAGACAAACCCAUCGACGACCAGACGCACGAUUUCCUAAGUAGCCUAAUCCUAUACAAGAAUGGAGAUCAACCAACGGCCUUAGGAGUAACUUACCAAAAUUUAAGGCAGUAAUGAAAUCCGUCCGUGUGAGUGGCGGCACGGUGGUGGAAUUAGACCUCCGUUGAGAAAUUCCGGCGAGGAGUCCGUCACGUUCUACGUGGUACUGCGCCUUGAUGUCGUCUCCGACAUCCACCGGCCCACCCCAGUGAACCACGACACCGCCCAUCGGGUCCCGACGAACGGCGGAAGCACGGGCCGGCCAUGGCGGGUGUUUGGCCAGUCCCUCUGCACGAGUCGGUGCCCACUUUCUGCAGGGCGACGAUGGUG